AGCAUAGCAUCUCCUCUUUCUCCGGAUCUGGGUUCCACACUUUUUGUAGGCUCAUGGAUCAGGAUCUGAUUGGACUCUUUUGCCUUUGCCUUUAAUACUGCAGCUGGGAACCGCACCCCCCACUAUGGCUCACAGACCCCGCUGCAUGAUGGGAGCAGGACCCCAGGACAGAGCGGAGCUUGGGACCCCAACAAUCCCAACACUCCCUCAAGGGCUGACGAGGACUACGAGUUCGGAUACGACGACGAGCCCUCUCCUUCUCCGCAGGGUUAUGGGGGCACACCCAAUCCGCAGACGCCUGGUUACCCUGAGGUGCCCUCUCCUCAGGUCAACCCCCAGUACAACCCACAAACACCAGGCACCCCUGCCAUGUACAACACAGACCAAUACUCCCCCUAUGCUGCGCCCUCUCCGCAGGGCUCCUAUCAGCCCAGUCCCAGCCCACAGAGCUACCACCAGGUGGCGCCCAGUCCUGUGGGUUACCAGAACACACACUCUCCUGCCAGCUACCACCCCACCCCUUCGCCCAUGGCGUACCAGGCCAGUCCGAGCCCCAGCCC
rnacentral:lncRNA from 1 species